rnacentral:rRNA from 1 species
GACGAACGCUGGCGGCGUGCUUAACACAUGCAAGUCACGGGGGCCCGCAAGGGUAACCGGCGAACGGGUGCGUAACACGUGAGCAAGCUUCCGAUUAGUGGGGGAUAGCCGGCCUAACGGCCGGGUAAUACCGCAUACGAUCACCGGGCGGCAUCGUCUGGUGAGGAAACCUCCGGGGCUAAUCGAGGCGCUCGCGGCCUAUCAGCUAGUUGGCGGGGUAAUGGCCCACCAAGGCGAUGACGGGUAGCUGGUCUGAGAGGAUGGCCAGCCACAUUGGGACUGGGACACGGCCCAGACUCCUACGGGAGGCAGCAGUGGGGAAUAUUGCGCAAUGGACGAAAGUCUGACGCAGCGACGCCGCGUGUGGGAUGAAGCCUUUCGGGGCGUAAACCACUGUUGCCCGGGACGAAUCUCCCCUUUCGAGGGGAUUGACGGUACCGGGUGAGGAAGCACCGGCUAACUCUGUGCCAGCAGCCGCCGUAAUAC